GAUCCUGGCUCAGGACGAACGCUGGCGGCGUGCUUUAGGCAUGCAAGUCGAACGCGAAAGCCCCUUCGGGGGUGAGUAGAGUGGCGAACGGGUGAGUAACACGUGGGUAACCUGCCCCUCGCAGGGGGAUAACCGGGGGAAACCCCGGCUAAUACCCCGUACGCUUGCCGGGGCGUAUGCUCCGGCAAGGAAAGGUAGCUUCGGCCAUCCGGCGAGGGAGGGGCCCGCGGCCCAUUAGCUAGUUGGUGGGGUAACGGCCCACCAAGGCGACGAUGGGUAG
rnacentral:rRNA from 1 species